rnacentral:tRNA from 2 species
ACUAUAUUGGCAGAUAAGUGCAUUAAAUUUAGAAUUUAAAUAUUAUAUUAUAUUUAUAAUAUAGUA